UACGGGGGGGGCAAGCGUUGUUCGGAAUUACUGGGCGUAAAGGGCUCGUAGGCGGCUUUCUAAGUCGGGGGUGAAAUCCUGGAGCUCAACUCCAGAACUGCCUUCGAUACUGGAAGCUCGAGUCCGGGAGAGGUGAGUGGAACUGCGAGUGUAGAGGUGAAAUUCGUAGAUAUUCGCAAGAACACCAGUGGCGAAGGCGGCUCACUGGCCCGGUACUGACGCUGAGGUGCGAAAGCGUGGGGAGCAAACAGGG
rnacentral:rRNA from 1 species